rnacentral:rRNA from 1 species
UGGGGAAUAUUGGACAAUGGGCGAAAGCCUGAUCCAGCCAUGCCGCGUGUGUGAAGAAGGCCUUUUGGUUGUAAAGCACUUUAAGCGAGGAGGAGGCUACUAGUACUAAUACUACUGGAUAGUGGACGUUACUCGCAGAAUAAGCACCGGCUAACUCUGUGCCAGCAGCCGCGGUAAUACAGAGGGUGCGAGCGUUAAUCGGAUUUACUGGGCGUAAAGCGUGCGUAGGCGGCUAAUUAAGUCAAAUGUGAAAUCCCCGAGCUUAACUUGGGAAUUGCAUUCGAUACUGGUUAGCUAGAGUGUGGGAGAGGAUGGUAGAAUUCCAGGUGUAGCGGUGAAAUGCGUAGAGAUCUGGAGGAAUACCGAUGGCGAAGGCAGCCAUCUGGCCUAACACUGACGCUGAGGUGCGAAAGCAUGGGGAGCAAACAGG